GAGUUUGAUCAUGGCUCAGGACGAACGCUGGCGGCGUGCCUAACACAUGCAAGUCGAACGAAGCUUAGGACUUCGGUUUUAAGCUUAGUGGCGGACGGGUGAGUAACGCGUGAGUAACCUGCCUUACAGAGGGGGAUAACGUCUGGAAACGGACGCUAAUACCGCAUGACAUUUCAGCACCACAUGGUGCAGAAAUCAAAGGAGCAAUCCGCUGUAAGAUGGACUCGCGUCCGAUUAGCUAGAUGGUGAGAUAACAGCCCACCAUGGCGACGAUCGGUAGCCGGACUGAGAGGUUGAACGGCCACAUUGGGACUGAGACACGGCCCAGACUCCUACGGGAGGCAGCAGUGGGGGAUAUUGCACAAUGGAGGAAACUCUGAUGCAGCAACGCCGCGUGAAGGAAGACGGUCUUCGGAUUGUAAACUUUUGUACUUGGGGACGAUAAUGACGGUACCCAAGCAGCAAGCUCCGGCUAACUACGUGCCAGCAGCCGCGGUAAUACGUAGGGAGCGAGCGUUGUCCGGAUUUACUGGGUGUAAAGGGUGCGUAGGCGGCUUGGCAAGUCAGUUGUGAAAACUAUGGGCUCAACCCAUAGCCUGCAAUUGAAACUGUUGAGCUUGAGUGAAGUAGAGGUAGGUGGAAUUCCCGGUGUAGCGGUGAAAUGCGUAGAGAUCGGGAGGA
rnacentral:rRNA from 1 species